rnacentral:rRNA from 1 species
CCAGAAUAAAAGUAGUUAAGUUCUUCAUAACUCAAAGAAUUUGGCGGUUAAUAAAAAUUUCAGAGGAACCUGUAUAUUAAUUGAUAAACCACGAUAGGGGCUACCUUUAUUAUUUACUUGUAUAUCUCUAUAUAAGAAGAAUGUUUUUUUAGAAUUAUUUUCUUUUAGAUUAAAUCUUAAAUUUUAGGUCAAGGUGCAGUUUUAUAAAGGAUUAUAUGGGUUACUUUAAUUUUUAUUUGUUAUUUUAUUCUUAAAGAGUCUGUUAUAGGAUUUGAUAGUAAUUUAAAUUAAUUAAUUUUUUUGAAUUAU